rnacentral:lncRNA from 1 species
GAGACAGAGCCGUUGGGAUCAUAUAGGUAAAUGCUCUUGAUAUUUGAAAUGACGAUCGACCGGAGAUACCUCCAAUCGCUGAUUGCUGUUUUGGUGGAAGUGGGAGUCCGUGUCGUGUACAUGGACUUCCUACGCGAGGCCGUGGCCCGGACCGUGCCCUCGGAGAUGCCGGGCUUGUGCUUGGUUCGUCCAAAAUAGUUAGACAAGCUGCCGCUCUCGGUGUUAACAGGCAACACAUGACGAACCAUCCCCACAGAACAUCUCAUCUGUUACUGUUGAAAUUGAAGUUUUCAAUGAUGAUGAGGUGUAUUCCACAGAAUAAGCCAGCUUGCGGUCGUGCCGUGCAGUGUCACUCCCUAACGUGGAACUGCAACAAAACAAAAGCAUACUGGUCGUCAAUGAUGGUAAACAUUUAAACCAAACAACACUAGACAUGGUACUUAAAUGAUGUAAGAACAAGCUGUAGAAGACAAAGCAGCUGUUCGUGCUGUUGCUGAUAUUGUUUUGAACAUCAUUCCACGUUCAAAACUUCUUUCCCAAUGUCAGAAGUUUGGACACGCCCAUAAA